rnacentral:rRNA from 1 species
CCUACGGGUGGCUGCAGUAGGGAAUCUUCCACAAUGGACGCAAGUCUGACGGAGCAACGCCGCGUGAGUGAAGAAGGGUUUCGGAUCGUAAAGCUCUGUUGUUAGAGAAGAACGAGCGUUAGAGUAACUGUUCACGCAGUGACGGUAUCUAACCAGAAAGCCACGGCUAACUACGUGCCAGCAGCCGCGGUAAUACGUAGGUGGCAAGCGUUGUCCGGAUUUAUUGGGCGUAAAGCGAGCGCAGGCGGUUGCUUAGGUCUGAUGUGAAAGCCUACGGCUCAACCGAGGAAGGUCAUCGGAAACUGGGGGACUUGAGUGCAGAAGAGGAGAGUGGAACUCCAUGUGUAGCGGUGGAAUGCGUAGAUAUAUGGAGGAACACCAGUGGCGAAGGCGACUGUCUGGUCUGUAACUGACGCUGAGGCUCGAAAGCGUGGGUAGCAAACAGGAUUAGAUACCCUUGUAGUC